AUUGAACGCUGGCGGCAGGCCUAACACAUGCAAGUCGAGCGAGCGGCGGACGGGUGCGUAAUGUCUGGGAAACUGCCUGAUGGAGGGGGAUAACUACUGGAAACGGUAGCUAAUACCGCAUACCAUCAGAUGUGCCCAGAUGGGAUUAGCUAGUGGGUGGGGUAACGGCUCACCUAGGCGACGAUCCCUAGCUGGUCUGAAAGGAUGACCAGCCACACUGGAACUGAGACACGGCCCAGACUCCGACGGUAGGCAGCAGUGGGGAAUCUUGCACAAUGGGCGCAAGCCUGAUGCAGCAAUGCCGCGGGUGUGAAGAAGGCCUUCGGGUUGUAAAGCACUUUCAGCGGGGAGGCGUUACCCGCAGAGGAAGCACCGGCUAACUCCGUGCCAGCAGCCGCGGUAAUUC
rnacentral:rRNA from 1 species